rnacentral:lncRNA from 1 species
AAUUCUGCUGUCCAGUGGCCUCACUUUUACUUCACACAUUACAUUUUUCAUUUCUAAAAUCUCCUUUUGGCUCUGUGUUUAUGAUUUCUAUCUCGCUCCUCAGAAUUGCUAUCUUUCCUUCACUUCACAUGUGUUCAAUUCCACUUUGUGGAGGGCGAUCAUAGUUGUUUUAAAGCCUGGUAACUUCAACAUCUGGAUCAUCUCCGAGUAGGCAUCUGUUGAUUGUGUUUUGAGAAUUGGUCGUAGUUUCCUGCUCCUUUGUCUGCUGAGUAAUUCUGGAUUGUAUUCUGGACAUUUUGAAUAUACACUGUAUUGUGAAACUCCAGGUCCUAUUAAAGUCCUCCGUACAAUGGUGACUUUUUACAUUUUUAGUUGGCCAGACACCCAGAACUCCAAGAUGGCAUCAUCUGCACCAGUGAAGAUGAAAAAGCUCACGGAUGGUAAACUAGCAGAGUUGCCAGACUGUAUACUGAUGAGGGAUUUCACCCCUAACGUCACUGUUGGAGUGUUUCAAAGAGGUUGCUACUGUAUUACAGCAGAAAUGAAAAGCAUGAUGAAUAGCAACCAAACAGACUCCGAGACAAAUAGACUUGGGCUUGAAUCCGGCACGGCCACCGUCCACCGUGAGACUUGGUAAACUACAUAACCCUGCUAUAUUUAUACGCCAUUUUCUUUCGUGUGUAAAUUUCUGUAAUCUUUUAGUGGCUUCAGAAAAGCCCCAGAAUGAUAAUUUCUUGCUUUGCUUGAAUAAGGAUAGGUAGGAUUCCUAGGAUGAAAUGUAUAAUUAUGCAGUCAUCAAGUAAGGAAAAGAGGAGCUAGGCUGACUAGAACUGAGAAUGUAGGAGAAGAUGAGGUUAAAAUCGGCAGCGACUGUCCUGGUUUAGACAAUAUAUGGCCAAGUUCAAGUCACCGGCAGAGGCACCAAAAGGCAGAGAUAUACCCAAGUCCAGGCAACCAGAGUCAAUUAUCAGGAGUUCCACAGACUAGAUGAAGCAAGUGGUGGAGUAGGGGGGAAAGGGUGGAAUUUCUGAUUCUAGAACAAACUUUUGCUUUUUAUCUAUUUUCUGCUAUGUGCUGCUUCUGUGAAGCCCUGCGCCUUUGGGUGUUAGUUCGAGCCAGGAAGAGAUCAAAAAAGAGAUCAUAAAAGCCUAUCUUUGAGGAGAAUAAAGGAUUAGGUUACCUCA